GACGAACGCUGGCGGCGUGCCUAACGCAUGCAAGUCGAACGGAAAGGCCCUGCUUUUGUGGGGUGCUCGAGUGGCGAACGGGUGAGUAACACGUGAGUAACCUGCCCUUGACUUUCGGAUAACUUCAGGAAACUGGGGUUAAUCUCGGAUAGGAGCUCCCGCUGCAUGGUGGGGGUUGGAAAGUUUCGGCGGUUGGGGAUGGACUAGCGGCUUAUCAGUUUGUUGGUGGGGUAGUGGCUUACCAAGGCUUUGACGGGUAGCCGGCCUGGGAGGGUGACCGGCGACAAUAGGACUGAGAGACGGCCCAGACUGCAACGGUAGGCAACGGUGGGGAGUAUUACACAGUGAGCGGGAGCCGGAUGCGACAACGCCGCGUGCGGGAAGACGGCCUGCGGGUAGUGAACCGCAGUCGCCUGAGACGAAGCGUUAGUGACGGUAACGGGUGAAUAAGCACCGGCUAACUACGUG
rnacentral:rRNA from 1 species